rnacentral:rRNA from 1 species
AGAGUUUGAUCCUGGCUCAGGAUGAACGCUGGCGGCGUGCUUAACACAUGCAAGUCGAACGGACUUUAUAUGAAGCCUAGCGAUUAUAAAGUUAGUGGCGGACGGGUGAGUAACGCGUGAAUAACCUGCCCUGUACCGGGGGACAACAGUUGGAAACGGCUGCUAAUACCGCAUAAGCGCACGGUUCCGCAUGGAACAGUGUGAAAAACUCCGGUGGUACAGGAUGGAUUCGCGUCUGAUUAGCCAGUUGGUGGGGUAACGGCCUACCAAAGCAACGAUCAGUAGCCGGCCUGAGAGGGUGAACGGCCACAUUGGGACUGAGACACGGCCCAAACUCCUACGGGAGGCAGCAGUGGGGAAUAUUGCACAAUGGGGGAAACCCUGAUGCAGCGACGCCGCGUGAGUGAAGAAGUUAUUCGUAACGUAAAGCUCUAUCAGCAGGGAAGAAAAUGACGGUACCUGACUAAGAAGCCCCGGCUAACUACGUGCCAGCAGCCGCGGUAAUACGUAGGGGGCAAGCGUUAUCCGGAUUUACUGGGUGUAAAGGGAGCGUAGACGGCACAGCAAGUCUGAUGUGAAAGCCCGGGGCCCAACCCCGGAACUGCAUUGGAAACUGCUGGGCUUGAGUGCAGGAGAGGUAAGCGGAAUUCCUAGUGUAGCGGUGAAAUGCGUAGAUAUUAGGAGGAACACCAGUGGCGAAGGCGGCUUACUGGACUGUAACUGACGUUGAGGCUCGAAAGCGUGGGGAGCAAACAGGAUUAGAUACCCUGGUAGUCCACGCCGUAAACGAUGA